GAUUAUGGCUCAGAACGAACGCUGCGGCGUGGAUUAGGCAUGCAAGUCGAACGGGACUUUAUGUUGUAGCAAUACUUUAUAAAGUCUAGUGGCGUAAGGGUGAGUAACACGUGGGUAACGUACCCGAUAGUUUGGGAUAACGUUCCGAAAGGGACGCUAAUACCGGAUGUGAUGUUAAAACGCUGGUUUUAACAAGAAAGGUGGGGACCGCAAGGCCUGCCGCUAACGGAACGGCCCGCGACCUAUUAGCUAGUUGGUGGGGUAAAGGCCUACCAAGGCGAGGAUGGGUAGCCGAACUGAGAGGUUGACCGGCCACACUGGGACUGAGACACUGCCCAGACUUCUACGGAAGGCUGCAGUCGAGAAUCAUUCACAAUGGACGAAAGUCUGAUGAUGCGACGCCGCGUGCGCGAUGAAGGUCUUCGGAUUGUAAAGCGCUUUGAACAGGGAAGAAUGCCGCGUAUUUAAUAGAUAACGCGGAGGGACAGUACCUGACAAACAAGCCCCGGCUAAUUUCGUGCCAGCCGCCGC
rnacentral:rRNA from 1 species